rnacentral:tRNA from 1 species
GCCGGUAUAGCUCAGUUGGUAGAGCACCUGACUUGUAAUCAGGGGGGCCCGAGUUCGACUCUUGGUGCCGGCACCA